rnacentral:rRNA from 1 species
CCUACGGUGAGCAGCAGUGGGGAAUAUUGCACAAUGGGGGAAACCCUGAUGCAGCAACGCCGCGUGAAGGAAGACGGUUUUCGGAUUGUAAACUUCUGUUCUUAGUGAAGAAGAAUGACGGUAGCUAAGGAGCAAGCCACGGCUAACUACGUGCCAGCAGCCGCGGUAAUACGUAGGUGGCAAGCGUUGUCCGGAAUUACUGGGUGUAAAGGGAGCGCAGGCGGGAAGCCAAGUCAGCUGUGAAAACUACGGGCUUAACUUGUAGACUGCAGUUGAAACUGGCUGUCUUGAGAUGUCGAGAGGUAUGCGGAAUGCGCAGUGUAGCGGUGAAAUGCUUAGAUAUUGCGCAGAACUCCGAUUGCGAAGGCAGCAUACCGGCGGCGAUCUGACGCUGAGGCACGAAAGCGUGGGUAUCGAACAGGAUUAGAUACCCCUGUAGUC